ensembl:lncRNA
GUGAGCGGCCGGGGGGGCGUGUGUGGGUGUAGCUUGGCAUCUCCCAAAGCCCCCCCCCCCCCCCCCCCCCCCCCCCCCAGUGCGUGCAGUCCGACAGCUACCGAGGAAAAACAGCGAACGAAAGAGAGAGGAGGAGGAGGAGGAAGAGGAGGAGAAAUAGGGAGAGGGAGAAAAAGAAGGAGCAUCACUUAAAGAAGAGCGAGAAGUUGCUGCAGGACUGGGCGAACUGCAGACUUUAAAGCAGCGAUGGGAAGGAAGCAUAGAGGGCAGAGGCAGAGCUGCAAAGCCCCCUCCUCAGCUCUUCCUCUGGGCACAGCGCUGCCCAGGGUGUCAAUCAGGACUUUAUCUCGGGCCGAAGGAGAAAAUAAAAGAAGAUAAGGCCUCGCUCUCACCCUGGGAAGAAAGCUAAUGGGGCAAGAGGGGGAAAGUCUUCAGCGCCCCGUGCCUCUCCCGGAUAGUGUUCUUGUAGUGACCUUGAGCUGCUGCCGGGGUGGGCAGAAGGGCCUGAGCCGAGCGGCUGCUCCCAUCCUCUGCCCGAGGGACACCUGCGAUUUUCAGUUGUCCCCUCCUUUGCCCCAAGGCGGCCCCACCGCCGCCCGUGGAAGCCGACCCCCGGCGUCGCGCAGCCCCCGGGCCCGCUUCCUCCCUCCCUGACAUCCUUCCUAUUUUUUUUCUUUCUCAUCUUCCUCCUUGCCAAUCCCUCUCUCCUUCUUCCUUCCUUUUCUCGUUUUUCCUUUUUUUUUCCCCUCUCCCCACGUCCUCCAUCUUCCCCCCUUCUCCCGCCCCCGCCCCGCACAGCGAAAACUCAGACAAGGCUGGCAGAGCCGUCGUGAGCACAUCCUUCACCUUAACCGAACCUCACAAAUUUCGGGACCCUUUCCUAGCCCCAUUACCAACCCCACUCCCAGACUCAAUUCCCAGCCCCGUUCUCAUCCCCAUUCACAGCCCCGCGUCUCGUACUACGGCCGUAACCCGGCUCCGUGUGGCUGCCCCGGGCAUCCCAGAAAUACUCGCUGUGCUCAAGGUGAAAAUACAGAUUAUACAUAUCACCUAAGCGGCUCCUGAAAAGUUUGGUUUGUUUUCUUCAGCUCACGUUAAGCGCAAAAAAAAAAAUAGAAUGGGUGAAAGGGGGCAUUCGCUUUCACCAAAAAAGAGCAUUUCCCCCCGGUCCAUGCCCUCGUCCUUUGUGCAAAGGUUGGAUGAGGCCAACGUGGUAAACGCGUAAAUCUGUAGAUCUGUGAGCGCAGAGAGGAGCUGGGAUUGGGACGGGCAGAACCAGCGGCUGCAGACGGUGAGGCCGGACCGUACUCUGCUGCCGGGACUGGGAGAUAUCCCGAGAGCUUUCAUCCUCACAGAGGUGAGGAUCCGGGUGCGAAGAGCCGCUCUGGUUGGCACAGGGUUUGGUGAAGCCAAUGUCUCGCAAGGACACGUGCACGCGCACCUCUACAUCGCAGUAAAAAUUAGACCUUUUCCACGUGCACCGAAACGGAUAUGUGCUUGUCUCGUUUGGUCCGGACGGAGCAGUGGCUGUGUGCACAGAAAAACGUGCUUCGAGAGAACACUCGGAGCUCAUUCCGUGCCCGUCUGCUCUGGGAGGCGGACGUGCACGUUUACCUGCUCG